GAGGCUGCAAUAUAUUACGGAAAGAUGUUGGACCCAUUUUUGGGCUGUUUCAUCACGGCAGAAGAAGUGCUGAUUGGUUGGCUUUUGGGAGGCACAUGGGUGAUAUUAAUAUGUAAGGUAGCACUCCACCGUCCAACAUUUAAUCACGCACACUUGAGCAGCUAGAAACGGCCAGCAACACAUGGAAAGAACUGCAGCACGGGCCAUGGGAAAAUAAAUGCAGCCGAUCCAUCUUAAGGAGCUCCACACGGACAACACUCCAGCACAUUAGAUGAGAGCAGCUAUCCAUCUUCAAGCUCCAGCAACGUCAAGCAAGCUUGAAGUCUAGCAUGUGAGAAGCUACAAGAAGCUCUCGGGCCACCAGUGAGUGCAGCACAUUCAGCGGUUUGGUAAAGGAGCUCACGGCCCAGCAGCUUGCAUUUGAGAAGCCUAUUUGCACAAACAUCUCCACGAUAUAGCAGCCUUGAGGCAGCAACACAUUGCAAGUCCAAUACUCCACCUGGCAGCAAAGGAAGCUUCAAGCAGGCCUCAACGUUGGAGAAAAAAAAAGGCCUCCUCACGCAUCCACGCAGCAGCAUCCAAAUUUCACGUGUCCAACUGCUUGGCCACAAGGUCCAGCAAAGUGAAUUGGUGGUGCGUCCAGGAGCUACAAGAAGAUCUCGGUCCAGCUGCAGCCCACGGUUCAGCAGAAGCAGCAGAGGUGCACACUCAGCAGUCUCCACUUCCCUACAGUUUUAGCCCAACACGUUUCCAUGCACACAGCAGCUGACUUUUGGCUUGAAUGAAGAAGCUUGGAGAGGACUUACGUCCAUGACCCAUGUGCACAAGAGAAGUGAAGGAGAGAUGCAAACAACAAAGCAUUGAACAGCAGCACAUAUCCAGCCUCCAUGAUCCAGCAGCUGCCACAGAUUCCUUACUAUCCAGAAAAGCAAGCAGCCUAUGGAUCUCUUGUGGCAGACGUUAGCAACUUGGGAGGUGCGGCAAGAAGUUCAGCAGUACACGUCCAGAAUGAGCUUGGACACAUAACCCUAGGAGAGGGACUUAUUCCUAGGACAGUCGCGCACUGCAUGAAAUAUAUUUUGUUGCGAACAAUUUUGAGAGGGCUUCUUUUGAGGGGAGCUACAAAUAAUUUGACUUUGGCUGGAACGUGUGAGGGAGAGAGCUUUCAUUCUUGAAAAAAAAAAAUAUUGAGGAUGGAAUGGAGAGAUAUGGGUUAGGUCUAGCCGCCACUCUCUCUUUAGCUAGUUUUUCUUGAACCUUGAUUGUGAAAGAGUGAAUGGAGAGAAUUAUUUUACUUUUCUUUUGAAUGAAUAGUGAUUAAGUGUUGAUGUUCACUUGUUUAUUGAUAUCUUUUUUAUAUUCAACAAUGUGCAAUGCAUGGGAGUUGUUCUUUACUUUUUUUUUAAUUGCGUUGAAGACCGUGC
rnacentral:lncRNA from 1 species